rnacentral:lncRNA from 1 species
UGCGAACCCUUUUGUUUAAUCUUAAAAAAAUUCUUUCGAUUUCGAUUAGAUACUUUUUUCUUUUUUUAGUCAAUUGGUAUUUGCUUCCGCAAUUCCAAUUAUAUCAAUACUUUAUUUAAUUUACUCCUAUUUAUUACUCCUGGAGUUAUCUAUUUACCGGGACAGAUAAUACCCCAUUCUAGGAAGGGCUGAGUUGAGUAUUAUUAAUUUAGAAGAUAUGCUCACCUUCUUAUUUCCCGUCCUUAGUUUAGGAAAGUGGAAAGUUUUUUCCUUUUAUUUUAGGAAUUUUGGGAACAGAACAUUUCAACAAAGGAAGUCUUUCACCGGUCAAACAAGACGUAAGACUUAAUCUAAAAGAAAUUACUAGAUUGAAUCUAUUUGCAUUAAAAAAACGAUCAAAAAAGGGCGAGCGAAGUAAGUGAUCGAAAAACUUUGUUCUUUGUUCGUCCUAUCUAUAAGAGGAGAGCAUAUGAAAAAUGUAACCCAUUCUUUCGUUUUUUAGCUCACUGGCCAUCCGCUAGCAGUUUCAGGCUUAAUACCGAUAUUUUAGCAACAAAUCUAAUAAAUCUAACUGUAGUGGUUGGUGUUUUGAUUUUUUUGGAAAGGGAGUGUGUGCGAGUUGUCUAUUUCAAGAAUAGAUUGGAUCUAUCCGGCUGCACUUUAUAAUAUUUUUUAGUAUUUUUUGGAUAAAUAAGAAAAGGGUGCACGAUCUCGACGAAUUACUUCUGAAUAAAUUCAGAAAUCAUAUGGAAGAACCAUAGCAUUUCGCGACUCAUUGGUAAAUCAACUUUGAUUCUCUAUAAACCAAGAAUGUGAGACCAUUAACACGGUUAAAGCUAAACUGCUUGAAGUCCAGGCAAAAAGAGGUACUCUUUCUACAACUAUAUUAGUAUUAGUACCGAAUUUAAACGGGAAAUAGCUAAUGUAAAAUUUAUCUGAUAUAGAACACUCAUAUAGAUAAAAUGGUUUGAACUAUUUACUAGAAAAAAAGGGGGCACCCUGCCCUUUUGUAAUCAAUGCCGAAUCGACGACCUAUGUAUAAAAAAGAGAAUUUUUUUGGAUUUGAAGAAAAAAAAUAAAAAAGAAUUCUAUUAAUUUUCAUUUUCCAUUUAUUUAGUUAGUUUUUCUUAAUGAAAUUGAAAUUAUUAACUAGAGGGCAAAUAAAAAUAAAGAAACAACUUUGCUGACCAUGAUAUAUUUUUAUCUUGGCAGAAGAGUCCUCUUAAUGUUUAUCUAGUCUUAUAUAGGUUUCGGUAUAUUGAAAUAUAAACAUAAAAAAGAAGAUAGAGGAUAGGCUCAUUACUUAAAAAAAAGAUAUGGAAAUAGCUAUAGAAAAAAAAGGAGCGUGAGAGCCAAAUGAAUCGAAAGAUUCAUGUUUGGUUCGGGAAGAGAUCAUAAAAGGUGUAAACUUACAAAAUAAUCUACUUUCAUUAAAAGAUUUAUAAGAUAAACAAAAACAGAGGAUCUUGAGUACUAUUCGAAAUUCAGAAGAAUUGCAUAGAGGGACCAUUGAGCAACUCAAAAAAGCUCGGAUUCGAUUACAGAAAGUCGAACUAGAAGCGGAUGAGUAUCGAAUGAAUGGAUACUCUGAGAUAGAACGAGAAAAAGCAAAUUUGAUUAAUGCUACUUCUAUUAGUUUGGAAUAAUUGGAAAAGUCUAAAAACGAAACCCUUUAUUUUGAAAAACAAAGGGCAAUGAAUCAGGUCCGACAGCGGGUUUUCCAACAGGCCGUACAAGGAGCUCUAGGAACUCUGAAUAGUUGUUUGAAUACCGAGUUACAUUUCCGUACGAUUCGUGCUAAUAUUGGCAUUCUCGGGUCCCUGGAAUGGAAGAGAUAAUUAAAUUAAUUAGGCCUUGAACUUCUACUUUCGUUUAGAAUUUAGGCAUUAUUUUUCCCCUUGCUUCCGAAAAAAGAGUCAGAAACACUAAUGGCAACCCUUCGAGUCAACGAUAUUCAUAAAAUUCUCCGCGAACGUAUUGAACAAUAUAAUAGGAAAGUAGGGAUUGAGAAUAUAGGUCGCGUAGUUCAAGUGGGGGAUGGGAUUGCUCGUAUUAUAGGUCUUGGUGAAAUAAUGUCAGGUGAAUUACUCGAAUUUGCAGAAGGUACUAGGGGUAUUGCUCUGAAUUUGGAAUCCAAAAAUGUUGGGAUUGUAUUAAUGGGCGAUGGGUUGAUGAUACAAGAGGGAAGUUUUGUAAAAGCAACAGGAAGAAUUGCUCAGAUACCCGUGAGUGAGGCUUACUUGGGUCGUGUUGUAAAUGCUCUGGCUAAACCUAUUGAUGGGAAAGGCGAAAUUAUAGCUUCCGAAUCUCGCUUAAUUGAAUCUCCUGCUCCAAGUAUAAUUUCCAGGCGUUCCGUAUACGAACCUCUUCAAACAGGGCUUAUUGCUAUCGAUUCGAUGAUCCCUAUAGGGCGCGGUCAGCGAGAGUUAAUUAUUGGGGACAGACAGACUAGCAAAACAACAGUAGCCACAGAUACAAUUCUCAAUCAAAAAGGCCAAGGUGUAAUAUGUGUUUAUGUAGCUAUCGGUCAAAGAGCAUCCUCCGUAGCUCAAGUAGUAACUACUUUCCACGAGGAGGGGGCUAUGGAAUACACUAUUGUAGUAGCUGAAAUGGCGGAUUCACCUGCUACAUUACAAUACCUUGCUCCUUAUACGGGAGCAGCCCUGGCUGAGUAUUUUAUGUACCGCGAACGGCAUACUUUCAUAAUUUAUGAUGAUCUCUCCAAACAGGCACAAGCUUAUCGCCAAAUGUCCCUUCUAUUAAGAAGACCUCCCGGCCGUGAGGCUUAUCCAGGGGAUGUUUUUUAUUUGCAUUCACGCCUUUUAGAAAGAGCCGCUAAAUUAAAUUCCCUUUUAGGCGAAGGAAGUAUGACCGCUUUACCAAUAGUUGAGACUCAAUCUGGAGACGUUUCCGCCUAUAUUCCUACUAAUGUAAUCUCCAUUACAGAUGGACAAAUAUUCUUAUCUGCGGAUCUAUUCAAUGCCGGAAUUCGACCCGCUAUUAAUGUGGGUAUUUCUGUUUCCAGAGUAGGAUCCGCGGCUCAAAUUAAAGCCAUGAAACAAGUAGCUGGCAAAUCAAAAUUGGAACUAGCGCAAUUCGCAGAGUUACAAGCCUUUGCACAAUUCGCCUCUGCUCUCGAUAAAACAAGUCAGAAUCAAUUGGCAAGGGGUCGACGAUUAAGGGAAUUGCUUAAACAAUCCCAGGCAAAUCCUCUCCCAGUGGAAGAGCAGAUAGCUACUAUUUAUACCGGAACAAGAGGAUAUCUUGAUUCGUUAGAAAUUGAACAGGUAAAUAAAUUUCUGGAUGAGUUACGUAAACAUCUAAAAGAUACUAAACCUCAAUUCCAAGAAAUUAUAUCUUCUAGCAAGACAUUCACCAAGCAAGCGGAAAUCCUUUUGAAGGAAGCUAUUCAGGAACAGCUGGAACGGUUUUCUCUUCAGUAACAAAUAAAUUUUGCAUGUCUACUCUUGUUAGUAGAAUAGGAAUCGUUGAGAAAGCCUUUUCAUUUGAAUCAUGCAAAAAAGUUUUCUUUGUUUUUAGUUUAGUAUAGUUAUUUAAAGAAUAGAUAGAAAUAAGAUUGCGUCCAAUAGGAUUUGAACCUAUACCAAAGGUUUAGAAGACCUCUGUCCUAUCCAUUAGACAAUGGACGCUUUUCUUUCAUAUUUUAUUCUUUCUUUUAUUUUAUUGCUUCUUCCGAGAAAAAACUGUUAGACCAAAACUCUUUUAGGAAAUCAAAAAAUCCAGAUACAAAUGCAUGAUGUAUAUAUUAUAUCAUGCAUAUAUCAUAAAGAAGGAGUAUGGAGGCGGUAGUGGGAGUCGAACCCGCAACCCCAAGGUUAUGAGCCUUAUGAGCUACCAAACUGCUCUAUACUCUUAAACUGAAGAGGGGUAACUAGGGGAUAAAAGAGGGUUGGAUACGCCCCUCUACCAAUAUCUAUACAAAUAGAAUAGUCCAUUUAUACAGAAUGGUAAAGAGGGCUCCUCUAUGAUUAUCAAUUCCAGAAAUCCAUACAAAUACGAAAGGGUAUUUUAUCCUUACCAACUGGAUCUUGUUGCACCCGGUAACAAACACUCAUAAACCAUUUCUCAAAGUACGUGUCCGGAUAGCCCAAAAUGUCGAUAGUUAGCUCUAGGUCUUCCGGUCAAAAAACAACUCGAUGAAGGCGUGUAGGUGCACUAUUACGCGGUAGGGAUUGCAAUUUUUCUCGCAUUUUCGUUUUUCACUCAAACUCAAGGGAGAAACUUUGCUUCUUAUCUUUUUUUUAAAGAUUGACGAAUCAAAUGAUAUUUCUGUUCUAAUUUCUGCCGCUUCUUCUCCCUCUGAAUCAAACUUUUUUUUGCCAUAAUGUGUCGUUGCUAUUAUUACCAAGUAUAUGGUUCUAAUCAUAGAUGGAAAAAUAAAUAGAAAAAGAAAUCUAAAAAGGCAGAUCCUCCCUCUCUAUCAAGAGUAAUGAACUAGGUGCUGAUAUAGUACAAAAAAAACUAAAUUAACCAAACUUGCCUGAUGUUGAGGCAAUCAAGAAAGCUGCAUAAGUGAAUAUAUAACUCACGGAAAAGUGAGCUAAUCCAACCAAUCUUGCUCGCACAAUGGAAAGAGCCACGGGCUUAUCUCUCCAGCGAAUUAAAUUAGCUAAAGGUGUGCGUUCAUGAGCCCAUGCUAAAGUCUCAAUUAAUUCCUGCCAAUACCCCCGCCAGGAAAUUAAGAACAUAAAUCAAGUAGCCCAAACAAGAUGUCCAAAUAAGAACAUCCACGCCCAUACCGAUAAACUAUUCAUCCCAAAAGGAUUAUAUCCAUUGAUAAGUUGUGAAGAGUUUAACCAUAGGUAAUCUCUUAACCAUCCCAUCAAAUAAGUGGAGGAUUCAUUAAAUUGUGAAACGUUGCCCUGCCAUAAUGUGAUAUGUUUCCAAUGCCAAUAAAAAGUAACCCACCCAAUGGUAUUUAACAUCCAUAAAACUGCCAAAUAAAAUGCGUCCCAAGCAGAAAUAUCACAAGUACCGCCGUGCCCUGGGCCGUCACAAGGAAAACUAUAUCCAAAAUCCGUUUUAUCUGGCAUUAAUUUGGAACCGCGUGCAUCUAAAGCGCCCUUUACUAAAAUCAAUGUAGUUGUAUGCAAACCUAGAGCAAUAGCAUGAUGAACCAAGAAAUCCCCAGGUCCUAUUGUUAAGAAAAGCGAAUUACUAUUCUCAUUAACAACAUUCAACCAUCCGGGCAACCAUAGGCUUCGACCCGCAUUGAAAGCGGGGCCAUUCGUUGAAGAUAAGAGUAUAUCGAACCCAUAUGUCGUCUUGCCAUGAGCAGAUUGUAUCCAUUGGGAAAAUAUAGGUUCGAUCAAGAUUUGCUUUUCUGGAGUACCAAAAGCAAGCAUGACGUCGUUAUGAACAUAAAGGCCCAAGGUAUGGAACCCUAGAAAGAGGCUAGCCCAACUUAAAUGAGAUAUGAUAGCUUCUUUAUGGUCUAACAUUCUUGCCAAUACAUUAUCCUCAUUCUGUUCUGGAUUGUAAUCCCUAAUGAAAAAAAUAGCUCCAUGAGCAAAAGCCCCUGUCAUGAUGAACCCUGCAAUAUAUUGGUGAUGAGUAUAUAAAGCAGCUUGAGUAGUAAAGUCUUGUGCUAUGAAUGCAUAAGGAGGUAAAGAGUACAUAUGUUGAGCUACUAAGGAAGUAAUAACCCCUAAAGAAGCUAGAGCAAGACCUAACUGAAAAUGAAUCGAAUUGUUGAUUGUGUCAUAAAGGCCCUUAUGCCCACGCCCUAAUCGACCCCCCGGAGGAGUAUGCGCUUCUAAAAGAUCUUUAAUAUUGUGCCCAAUUCUGAAGUUAGUUCGAUACAUGUGACCGGCAAUGAGAAAAAUAAAUGCAAUAGCUAAAUGAUGGUGAGCCAUAUCGGUCAGCCACAAACUUUGCGUUUGUGGAUGGAUCCCCCAAGAAGAGUUAGAAUGGCAGUUCCUGCUCCUUGAGCGGUACCAAAUAAAUGAUUACUCGAAUCAGGGUUUUGGGCAUAAAGAUUCCAUUGACCCGUCAAAAGGGGUCCCAACCCCUGGGGAUAGGGUAAUACAUCUAAGAAAUUAUUCCAUUGAACGUACCCCCCUGGAUGCGGGAAUAGCAACAUGAACUAAAUGUCCUGUCCAAGCCAAAGAACUUACCCCGAAAAGUCCUGACAAAUGAUGAUUGAGACGAGAUUCCGCGUUUUUGAACCACGAAAGGCUUGGUUUCCAUUUGGGUUGUAGAUGUAACCAACCCGCUAUUAAGGACAGCGUAGAAAGAAAUAAUAGAAAAAGAGCUCCAAUAUAAAGAUGCUCAUUGGUGCGUAAUCCUAUUGUAUACCACCACUGAUAAACUCUAGAAUAAGCAAUAUUCACUGGACCAGCAGCACCUCCUCGAGUAAAGGCUUCCACAGCGGGUUGACCAAAAUGAGGAUCCCAAAUCGCAUGAGCAAUAGGUCUUACGUGUAAAGGAUCCUGUAUCCAUGAUUCAAAAUUUCCUUGCCAAGCUACAUGAAACAGAUUUCCGGACGUCCAUAGAAAGAUUAUUGCUAAUUGCCCAAAGUGAGAAGCAAAAAUGUUCUGAUAAAGACAUUCUUCAGUAAUAUCAUCAUGACUUUCGAAAUCAUGUGCGGUAGCAAUACCAAACCAAAUAUGACGAGUAGUGGGGUCCUGAGCUAAGCCUUGGCUAAACCUGGGAAAUCUUAAUUCCAUAAUGCCUUUCAAAUCCUCCUAGCCACUAUCCUACUGCAAUAAUUCUCGCUAAGAAGAAUGCCCAUGUCGUGGCAAUUCCACCCAGAAGGUAAUGGGUUACUCCUACAGCGCGUCCUUGUAUAAUGCUCAAGGCUCUAGGCUGAGUAGCAGGAGCAACUUUUAAUUUGUUAUGAGCCCAAACGAUAGAUUCAAUGAGUUCUUGCCAAUAACCAUGGCCGCUGAAUAAAAGCAUUAAACUGAAGGCCCAGACAAAAUGAGCACCUAAGAAAAAAAGACCAUAUGCAGAUAAUGAAGAACCAUAAGACUGAAUGACUUGCGAUGCCUGUGCCCACAAGAAAUCUCGAAGCCACCCAUUAAUCGUAAUGGAACUCUGUGCAAAGUUUCCCCCUGUAAUAUGAGUUACCACCCCUUGAUCACUUAUAGUACCCCAAACAUCCGAAUGCAUUUUCCAACUGAAAUGGAAAAUGACUACCGAAAUUGCAUUGUACAUCCAGAAUAAACCUAUGAAAACAUGAUCCCAGGCGGAUACUUGACAUGUUCCCCCUCGGCCAGGCCCAUCGCAAGGAAAGCGAAAACCUAGAUUUGCUUUAUCGGGUAUUAAACGGGAACUCCGAGCAAAUAAAACACCUUUCAAAAGUAUUAAUACAGUCACAUGUAUGGUAAAUGCAUGAAUGUGAUGGACUAAAAAAUCUGCGGUUCCUAAUGGAAUAGGUAACAAAGCCACUUUGCCACCUACUGCUACUAACUCGCCGCCUCCCCACGUUAAGCUAGUACUUGUUGUUGCACCAGGAGCUGUUACGCCAGGCGCAGUAGCAUGGAUAUUUGUACCCAUUGAGCAAAGAUAGGUUGUAAUUGUAUGGCAGUAUCCGAAAACAUAUCUUGUGGACGGCCUAAAGCACUCAUGGUAUCAUUAUGAAUGUACAAGCCAAAACUGUGAAAACCUAGAAAUAUACAUACCCAGUUAAGGUGGGAUAUGAUUGCAUCGCGGUGUCUAAGGACGCGAUCUAAUAGAUCGUUGUAUCGAGUAGUUGGAUCAUACUCUCUUACCAUAAAAAUUGCUGCAUGUGCAGCAGCACCGACUAUUAGAAAUCCGCCAAUCCACAUGUGGUGUGUGAACAAGGAAAGUUGUGUACCAUAGUCAGUAGCUAGGUAUGGAUAGGGAGGCAUAGAAUACAUAUGAUGAGCUACAACAAUGGUUGUAGAGCCUAGCAUAGCUAGGUUAAGAGAUAAUUGAGCAUGCCAUGACGUUGUUAAGAUUUCAUAAAGACCCUUAUGGCCUUGUCCUGUAAAUGGGCCCUUGAAGCCUCCAAAAUAUCUUUAAGUCCAUGGCCAAUACCCCAAUUGGUCCUAUACAUAUGACCUGCGAUUAGGAAAAGAAUAGCAAUAGCUAAAUGAUGGUGCGCAAUAUCGGUCAGCCAGAGACCACCGGUUACUGGAUCUAGUCCUCCGCGAAAAGUCAGAAAUUCUGCGUAUUUGGACCAAUUUAAAGUGAAAAAGGGGUUGCUCCUUCGGCAAAACUAGGAUAAAGUUGAGCCAAAAGGUCCCGAUUCAAGAUAAAUUCAUGAGGAAGUGGUAUCUCUUUAGGAUCCACCCCAGCGUCAAGAAAUUGGUUAAUUGGUAAAGAUACAUGAAUUUGGUGCCCCGCCCAAGAAAGAGACCCAAGUCCUAAUAAUCCCGCUAAGUGGUGAUUCAACAUGGAUUCUACAUCUUGGAACCAGGCCAAUUUGGGAGCGGCUUUGUGAUAAUGGAACCAACCAGCAAAAAGCAUUAACGCUGCAAAAAUCAAUGCACCAAUUGCAGUACAAUAGAGUUGUAAUUCACUAGUUAUUCCAGAUGCUCGCGAAAGCUGAAAAAAACCAGAGGUUAUUUGGAUUCCUCGGAAACCCCCGCCUACAUCACCAUUCAAUAUUUCUUGCCCUACUAUAGGCCAAACUACCUGAGCACUGGGUCCAAUGUGAGUAGGAUCACUUAGCCAUGCUUCAUAAUUGGAAAAACGGGCGCCAUGAAAGUACAUGCCACUCAACCAAAGAAAGAUAAUGGAAAGUUGCCCGAAAUGAGCACUAAAGACUUUUCGAGAAAUCUCCUCCAAAUCACCAGUAUGACUAUCGAAAUCGUGAGCAUCAACAUGUAGGUUCCAGAUCCAAGUGGUAGUAUCAGGGCCCUUAGCUAGUGUUCUUGAGAAAUGGCCGGGUCUGGCCCAUUCCUCAAAAGAUGUUUCUACAGGAUCCCUAUCCACAACAAUUUUUACUUCUGGUUCCGGUGAACGAAUAAUCAUUAAGUCCUCCUCUUUCUGGACAAGACAUACAAAGAGACCCGCCAACUGUCUUUUUAGUGAAUCUUUGAAAGAUAUAUAUUUUGAAAGAUAGAUUUUGAAAGAUAGAUAUUGUGAUUAGUUCUUUUCUUUACUAUCUACCAUCCUUCUAUUUUUUUUUAGUUAUUCACUGGAGCAAUUAUAUAUUGAAGUCAAUCCGAGGCAAGUGUUCGGGUCUAUUAUGACAUAAAGAUUAGGUGCCUAACGGACAUUGUUUAUCUUGAAAAACAAAUAUUUCUCGACGUAAGAAAAAAAUCUUUUUUAUUUUUAAUUUAAGAAACUAGUGUAUUUUUUUGAGGGCAUAAGCUCCUAUCUAUAUCUACUUUCCUUGAGCAUAAUAUAGGGUUUUUUAUUUGAUUCUAAAUUCCAAGAUAACUCAUUAGAAUUAUUAAUAAGAUGGUCCUAAUAUAUUAGCAAUAUUUAUAUUGCCCCCUCUUUUUAUUCACUUUAUUACUUCUAUUCUAGACCCUAUCCCUAUGGUUUAUUCUUAUGAAAUAUCAUAUAAAAUAGAAGGUAUAAGAAAUGGAUAUAAUGAAAUUCUUGAUUCGAUCUUACGACCUAAUUUAUUUGAUUAAUGGAUCAACAACCAAACCACCCAUUUUAUGAAAAAGAAGGAGCAUGGUCUUAUUCAAAUUCAAAGCGCUUCGUAAUCUUCAACCAGUUCUGUGCUUCAAUAUAAUUUCCCGGAGUAAGCGCUAUAGCUUGUUUCCAACAUUCAGCAGCUUGAUCAAACCAAGCUUCCGCAAUUUCUGAAUCACCCUGUAGAAUGGCCUGUUCUCCUUGGUCGGAAUAGGAAGUUCCUUCCCUUAGAACCGUACUUGAGAGUUUCCUACCUCAUACGGCUCAGAAAUUGCUAUCUGAAUUUCCCCUAUCUUAACUGAAUUCGAUUUAUCAAAAAUCGAUCCAAUUUGUUCUUGGGUUAAGCAGAAGAAAUUAAUUACCUAAGUUUCAAACCCUAAUUUUUAUCAAUAAUCAGUUUGAUCUUUUUUCCCACCUUCAGAAGAAUGAAGCAUAGAUAGAUAUAGAGCCUUCAUUCAAAUUUUCUGAAAGGUAACUAUCCCGUUUUCAUAUAUGAAAUCUCUAUAGAAUCCUUGAAAAAGAAUUUUUCCAUAAGAAAGAAAAAAGAACUUACUAUCUUUGGGAUCUGAUACUACACCGCUGCUUAAUCCCUUAGUGGAUCGGCUCUAUUACAUAAGCGGAUUCCUAAAUUUUGCCCCAUAUCAUGGGAUAAGUAAGCAGUUUUUUUAGUUGUAUCGACCCAGUCGCUCACUAAUUGAUCUUUACGGUGCUUUCUCUAUCAAUUUGAGAAACUUUAUCCAUAGAGUAGUAGUAUAGGCCAUACUUUCUUCUUUUUUGAUUCUCGUGAAGUGUCCUUCCUUCCUACAGCUGAUAGGGAAAAAUCGUUGUUUUUAUGAUCCCUAUGUAGAAAGCCCUUUUUUCUAGUAUUUACUAGAAAAUUUGAUCCUCUCUUUUUUUUCUUUCUUUUCUAUAGUGGAGAUAGUCGCACGUAAUGACAGAUCACGGCCAUAUUAUUAAAAGCUUGCGGUAAGAAGGGGUUUCGUUCUAGUGCCCGGAAAUAAUAUUCCAAAGCCUUUGUAUGCUCUCCAUUGCUUGUGUGUAUAAGGCCUAUGUUAUAGAGUAUAUAACUUCGAUCAUAGGGAUCGAUUUCUAGUCGCGUAGCUUCAUAAUAAUUUUGCAAAGCUUCCGCAUAAUUUCCUUCGGAUUGAGCCAACAUCCGUUACGGUCAUUCAUUCUAUUCAAAAAAUCUCCGUUCCAAAACCGUACAUGAGGUUUUCAUCUCAUACGGCUCCUCCCUUCUGUACAUAAUAGUACUAAGCGAAAUAAUCUAUAGAAUCAAAAUAGAAUUAGUCCCGUCUCAUUAUGAACUGAAAGGGGCUGGUAUUUUUCCAAGAAAUCUCUAGCCAACCUUCCCACAAGAGGUUUUUCUUAACACCAAUGAAUUCUAUUAAUGCUAGAGGAAAACGAUAGCUCCAAUAAUUUCUUUGUUCUCAACGCGUCCUAUUUAGAGGAAUUAGCUACUUCAACGAUCUUUGAUGGUUAUAGGGGUAUCCAAAGUACAAACCUGAUGGUUGUUUGUUAUCCCAACCAUUAUUCCUAGCCCUGAUACCGAUCAGGAAAGGGGUAAUUUCUAACAAAGUUUUUCUCUUGUUGAUUCCUAUUUCUAGGUGUAGUGCUUUUCUCCCCUAUGCUGCCUACGGAUACUAAUAGAGUAGGAUUGGCCUGUAAUCCAUACCAUACCAUAUCCUGUAGGUGUAACCUUUCGCUCAAUACUCAAAUCUACAAUUGAAGUAUCUGAAGCCGCAUCAAUCGAGGAUACACGACGGAAGGAAUUGUUAGUUCGCCUCACCUUCCUGAAGCGUGGGUUUGUUUGCUUUACAAAUUUGGUUCUCUCUAUGCCAACCCCCUCUCUUUUUCGUAAGACUGAGGUAUAGGUAGGGCUAAAAAAAGCAAAAAAAAUGAGUCAAAUCGCACCAUCUCUAUAAUAAGUAAAUGCCUUUUUUUCUCCUGAGGUUGUCGGAAUUAUUCACAAUAAAAUAUUGGCUACAAUUGAGGAGGUCUUAUCAAUGAAAUUUCCAUUUACACGGGAUCUAGGCAUAAUUCCCAACCCAUUCUAUAUAGAAUUGUUUUCAUUCCUUCACAAAAUAACAUAAAAACAAACAUAUUCGAUUCUUAUAAUUAUAAAUAGAUUGAUCCAUAUGCUCUACUCUAAAUCCAUAUGCUUUAAAUGGAUAAGAGAGAUAGAGAUAUGGAUUUUCCGCUCAGCUCAAAUUGUAUCCUUUUCCUUCUGCUUGGACACGAAGAGAUAUGAAAUAUUUGACUAAGACUGGAUUUCAUUCCACUUUGCUAUUUCUGAACAACAACUUAUGUUAUCAACUAUUUCGUGUUUUCAAAGUUAUUAAUUGUCUCAUACCCUAUUUGUGAUUUCGAUAGUAUGGUGUAGCGUAUCUUAUGCAAACGGAAUUCUAAGGUUUCUUUAUUUUAUUAUGCAAUAAGAAGAAUUCUUCCAUUUUCUUUUUCUUUAGUUGCGGGAAAACCCAAAUUAAAACUUUUAUUUUAUAGCGAGCGCAAUUUCUAGUAAAAAAUCCUGUAUCCUUCCACUUAGAUCAAAAGGAAUUUUUCCAAUAGAACUAUGGAACCCCCGAGUGGUUGCGGUUGUACCUGUACUGCAGGAAUAAGAAAACUCGCUAUUCACUCAGUUUAUUUUCCAUAAUAAGUUAUGUAGGAGAGAUGGCCGAGCGGUUCAAGGCGUAGCAUUGGAACUGCUAUGUAGACUUUUGUUUACCGAGGGUUCGAAUCCCUCUCUUUCCGUUUUUCUUAUUUCAUCAACGUUAAGGAUCACAAUGUAUCAAAUCAAAUAACAAUUUUUUCCAGCAAUAAUAUCUUAUAUUAUCUUAUUUUGAUAUAAUAGAAAUUAGAAAUUCUCUAUAGCAAAUUACUGUGGUAUGUAAAAUACACAUAGAGGAAAAAAGAAAAAAGGAUCCUAAUCCUAGGGUUAAUCAAUUUUAGCUAGUUGAUGGGAAAAUACAAAUUAAUGGUAAUGGUCUUAGGGCGAUUUAGUUCGGGGAAAGGGGAAGGGGAAGAAAAUUCUAUGAACCUUUCCUUUUUUGGUUAAGUUCAAGUCUGACGAGAGUAAUAUUCUACAACUAACAACUCAUUUAUUUUGAGACCGACCCACUUCCUAUCUAGGAUUUUAUUUACUAGUCCUUUAUAUUCCAACGUGUCAAUCGCCAAAUGCUUUGGCAAUUUCCCCGGGUCCGAUGAAGCAAUAUAAUUUUGAACCAGACCUUUUGAUCUUUGGCUAUCUUUCGUAGUAAUAAUAUCUCGGGGUUUGCAACGAAAACUUGGUAUAUUGACUAUACGACCAUUAACUAAAAUAUGUCUAUGGUUGACUAAUUGGCGGGCCCCAGGAAUGGUUGAAGCCAUACCAAUCGAAAAAGGAUAUUAUCCAAACGCAUUUCAAGUAAUUGUAGUAAAACCUGGCCUGUUGACCUUUUUGCUUUUCCAGCGAUAUGUACAUAUCUAAGUAAUUGUCGUUCUGUCAGACCAUAAUGAAAACGCAAUUUCUGUUUUUCUUGAACACGAAUACGAUAUUGCUCCUUUUUCCCAGAAAUGAAUUUAUUUUUAAGAUUACCUUUGAUUUAGGUGUUUUUCUAGUGAGUCCUGGUAAAGCUCCCAGACGGCGUAUUUUUUUAAACGAGGUCCUCGAUAACGGGACAUGAAGACUCCUUUUUUUAUUUUAUUGAAAUUUCAUUUUACACAAUUAAUUUCAUUGUAUUUACAUUACAGAAUACAUCGAAAUUAAAACUGAAUUAAACUACAGGAUAAACAGAGUAAAAUCAACUAAAGUACCCAAAAAAAUGGAAUUUCAUCAAAAUCUUUAUUUUUUGUAUAUAUAUUAUUUAUUUUAUUGUUUUGUAUCUAGCAAAAUUGUAAGGUAAAAAACAUAAAAGAUCCUGGAUUCUCCAUUUAAUUCGGAAAAAAAGAGAUUCUUGUUCGUAGAACAUCGAUAGAGAAAAAAAGCCGACUAUCGGAUUUGAACUGAUGACCCUCGCAUUACAAAUGCGAUGCUCUAACCUCUGAGCUAAGUGGGCUUACAUAACGGAAAUAGUGUAACAAAUAGAAAUAGGUAUAGUAUAGGAAAUCCAUAAAAUCUCAGAUAUUAGUUAUUAAUCUUAGCUAUUAACUAGUUCUAAAUUUGAAGUUAUACUUAUAAAAAUAAAAAAAUACUAAAACUUCUUAAAGAUAAAGUUAGCUUGAUAUGCUUAACUAUAGGAUAUUAAAAAAUAAAAUUAUAGAAUUUAUUGGUAUUUUCAUUUGAUCAUUAUAGACUUUAUUAUUUGUUAAUAAUUUGAGGAUUAAUAUUUCACUAAGGGGAACAUAGAGUCAGAGUAAAUAAAAUUGCUAAUUCUGAUUAGAAAAAAAGAAUAAAUAUCAAGCGUUAUAGUAUAAUUUUGAAUACUAUAAAAAAGUAAGACGGGAGGUGGGGGAGAUAAAAACUUUUGGAUAUAUUGAUUCGGAUUGAAUUGCAAAUACAUCAAGGAUAGAAUCAAUUCAAUUGUGAAUUGCAAUAAGCAAGCGAGGUCUCUCAAAUAGAGUCGAACUGAACUGCUAGACUACGUUGAGUGAUGAACUCAAUGAUUCAAAAAAAACUAAGAGAUGGAUGAAAUUACACAAGGAAUCCUGGUCUCAAAGAAGAGGGAAAUGGGGAUAUGGCGAAAUCGGUAGCCGCUACGGACUUGAUUGUAUUGAGCCUUGGUAUGGAAACCUGCUAAGUGGUAACUUCCAAAUUCAGAGAAACCCUGGAAUUGAAAAAGGGCAAUCCUGAGCCAAAUCCGUGUUUUGAGAAAACAAGGGGUUCUCGAACUAGAAUACAAAGGAAAAGGAUAGGUGCAGAGACUCAAUGGAAGCUGUUCUAACGAAUCGAGUUAAUUACGUUGUGUUGUUAGUGGAAUUCCUUCUAAUUCUAAAUUAGAGAAAGUGGGGUUUUUAUACCUUAUACAUUUAAUAAACACGUAUAGAUACUGACAUAGCAAACGAUUAAUCACAGAACUCAUAUUAUAUUAUAAUUAUAAUAUAGGUUCUUUAUCUUUUUAAAAAAUGAAAUUAGAAAUGAUAAUGAUUAUGAAAUAAAAAACUCAUAUCAUAAUUUUUUUUUUCAUUAUUGUGAAUCCAGUCCAAUCGAAUAUUGAAUAAUCAAAUUCUUCAAUUUAAAUUCAAAGUUUUUGAGAUCUUUAAAAAGUGGAUUAAUCGGACGAGGACAAAGAGAGAGUCCCAUUCCACAUGUCAAUACUGACAACAAUGAAAUUUCUAGUAAAAGGAAAAUCCGUCGACUUUAUAAGUUGUGAGGGUUCAAGUCCCUCUAUCCCCAAAUCCUCUUUUAUUCCCUAACUAUACUAUAUUAUUAUUAUUUAUCCUGUUUUUUAUCUUUUUAUCAAUGCAAUGGCAAUGGGUUUAAGAUUCAUUAGCUUUCUCAUUCUACUCUUUCACAAAGGAAUGCGAAGAGAACUCAAUGGAUCUUAUCCUAUUCAUUGAAUAGAUUUCUUUUUUAUUAGAGUAUCGGCAAGAAAUCUUGGUUAUUCACUCUAUUUUUAAGUUUUAUUUAAGUAAACCAUGCACAAUGCAUAGGACUACCCCCCCCCCCAUUUUCAAAUUUCAAAUUUGAAAUACUUUAAUUAAUUUUUAGUCCUUUUAAUUGACAUAGAUACAAAUACUCUACUAGGAUGAUGCACAAGAAAAGGUCAGGAUAGCUCAGUUGGUAGAGCAGAGGACUGAAAAUCCUCGUGUCACCAGUUCAAAUCUGGUUCCUGGCAGAGAAAAAAAAAGAUCCACCGAAUAGGUAUUGAUCCAAAUACCUCGAGAUGGAUUGUGAUACAUAUUCAUUAAUAAUAUUUAUUCAUCUAAGUGGAUAAAUCUAUAAUAUAAAUAUAGAGGCACUUCUUUUUCUUUUUAAAGAAGUUUUAAAAUAUAUCUUUUCUUUAUGAUAAAGAAGGGGGUGAGAUUCCCCUUUAUUUUUUUGCGUUUCUUAAUUUUGUAUUCCGCUAUUCCGACGAAUAUUUUUUUAGUCUUGCUUAUCUUUAUCUUAUCUUAUUUUCCUAGUUGUGCUAAGUAAUGUGCGCGGUACAAAGUUCCUGGUUGAGAACUUCUUUGAGUCAUCCUAUUUUUCUGUUCAUAUGAAGGAAAUUAAUAUGCGAUUUUCAAAAUAGGGGAAUCCAAAUGAAACCCUUUUUUUGCUCAGUCUAUCUGGAAUGCUUUUGUAUAAUUAGGAAUUAAUUAUAAAUAGGUAUUCCGUUUCAUCUAGGAAAAGAACCUAAAAAUAUUCCUUGACUUGAAUAAAAUCUGGAGUUGUGUUGUAUAAGUGAGCAUGAAUUUCUUAUCAUUCAAUGAGCAUCUUGUAUUUCAUAAAAAUUGGGGGUUAUAUAAUCCUUACGUAAGGGCCAGCCUAUCCAACUUUCAGGCAUUAGGAUACGUUUAAGGCACGGAUGAUUAUCAUAAGAGAUUCCCACCAUAUCAUAAGAUUCGCGUUCUUGAAAAUUGGCACUUCUCCAAAUCCAGAAGACAGACGGAAUUCUAGGAUUAUCCUUUUGGGCAAAGACUUUUAUGCAGACUUCUUCUGGAUUAUCUAUACCAUAUUGUAUUCUCGUAAGAUGAUACACGCUAGCUAAAGAUCCACCGGGUGCUACAUCAUAAGCACAUUGGGAGCGUAAAUAAUUGUAACCAUAUACAUAUAAAAUGACAGCAAUGGAAUCCCAAUCCCCUGCUUUUGUUUGUAAAGUCUCUAUUCCUCGGUGAUCAAAGCCCAAAGAUCUAUGAACCACCUCAUGUUUGACUAGCCAAUUAGAUAACCAACCCUGCUACAUUGUCUUCAUCUCUCCCUCUUUGUAUAAAUAUUUCACAUUUCGGAUGUAAGUUUGAAAGAUUGCCCUGCUUUUUAUUUUUCUACACAAAAGAGCCCCUCUCCUAAUUCACUAAUUUGUAGGAAGGUACUGAACUUUUGGAUUUGAAAAAAGUUUCAGAAGAUAUAUCUAAUGUAGAUGGUGAUUGAUAGAGCAAUUCUUGCUCAUAAGUUCCUGUAUGAGUACUGCGCCUAACAUAAAGCUUGUGACUGGUAGUAAAACAUCUAUUUUUAUUUUGAGAUAGAGUUUGAUCCUCAACUAUUUCUCGCGAUAUCUUCUUACGAAGUUUUGUUAGGGCAUCUAUAACUGCCUCCGGUUUAGGUGGGCAGCCCGGCAAGUAGACAUCCACAGGAAUUAACUUAUCAACUCCCCGAACAGUACUAUAGGAAUCUGUACUGAACAUUCCCCCUGUAAUAGUACAGGCUCCCAUAGCAAUGACGUAUUUUGGUUCAGGCAUUUGCUCGUAUAAUCUCACUAAAGAGGGAGCCAUUUUCAUUGUUACCGUACCGGCUGUUAAAAUUAGGUCUGCUUGCCUAGGACUUGAUCUUGGUACCAAUCCAUAACGAUCAAAGUCGAAUCGUGAGCCUAUUAAUGAAGCAAAUUCAAUGAAACAACAACUGGUACCGUAUAGAAGGGGCCAUAAACUGGAGAGUCUUGACCAAUUCGAAAGAUCAUUUGGUGUAGUUGAAAUAACAGAAUUGGAAUUUGUUUGGUCAAGUAAGGGAAACUCAAUCAAAUUCAUAACUGUCUCAAUAGAAUCUUUUCCUUCUUUUUUUUGUCUAAAUAUUCAGUUAAGACCAUUCCAAGGCUCCUUUUCGCCAUGCAUAAACUAAACCAACAACUAAGAUAAGCACGAAAAUCAAAGCUUCAAUAAAAACGGAUACACCCAAUACGUCGAAACUCAUUGCCCAAGGGUAUAGAAAGACGGUUUCCACAUCAAAAACAACAAAAACGAGCGCAAACAUAUAAUAGCAUAUUCGGAAUUGUACCCAAGCCCCUCCCAUGGGUUCUAUACCCGAUUCAUAACUAGAAAGCUUCUCUGGUCCUUCACUAACCGGGGCUAAAAGUCCUGAAAUCGAAAAUGCCAAAAUAGGAAUAAGGCUUGCUAUUAUUAGAAAUGUCCAAAAAAAUAUCAUAUUCGUGAAGCAGAAACAUAAUGUACUCCCAUUAAUGUGGAAUAGCCGGAACUUAAAUUAGUCAAUUCAAUUCAGCAUUGUCAAUUUAUCCAGAACUUCUCUCUUUUCCUCGGUGAAACAAGAAUCUUUUUUGUUCAAACAAAAGCGCUUAGUUUAGCCUUUGUUUCCUCUAUGCUGCAUCUUCUUUAAAGAUUCAUCCAAUGGAAUCCCAACUCCCUUUCUUUUGGAUUUCCAUUCUAUUUAGAUAUGGUGUAUGUAGAUCUAAUUCUUAUAUAAAGAAAACUUUCUCAUUUCACUUUGUCUCGCUUUCUCUAGAAUCUAUCUUGCCGAGAUCUUCAUCCCUAAAGAUACUUGACAAUAGUAUUAUUGGAGUGGAUACACAACUCACAAAAAAUACAAGAAGUCGACUAGGCGGACUGGUCCGAGUGAAGAGAAAAAAAAGCCAUACGGAACUCAAAAUAUUUUCCGGAGAUAUUCAUUUUCCUGAAGAGGCGGAUAAGAUAUUAGGUGGCUGUUUGAUACCGCCAGAAAGACAAAAAAAAGAUUCUAAGGAAUCAAAAAAAAGGAAAAAUUGGGUCUAUGUUCAACGGAAAAAAAUUCUCAAGAGCAAGGAAAAGUAUUUUGUUUCCGUUCGCCCUACAGUGGCAUAUGAAAUGGACGAAGGAAGAAAUUUAGCAACACUUUUCCCGCAGGAUCUCUUGCAAGAAGAAAAUAAUCUCCAAAUUCGACUUGUCAAUUUUAUUUCUCAUGAAAAUAGCAAGUUAACUCAAAGAAUUUAUCACACAAAUAGUCAAUUUGUUAGAACUUGCUUAGUAGUGAAUUGGGAACAAGAAGAAAAAGAAAAGGCUGGUGCUUCCCUUGUUGAGGUAAGAGCAAAUGAUCUUAUUCGCGAUUUCCUAAGAAUUGAGUUAGUCAAGUCCACUAUUUCGUAUACAUGAAAAAGGUAUGGUAGGACAAGUGCAGGACCGAUUCCCCAUAAUAGGUUAGAUCGUGCCAAUAUCAAUACUUUUUAUUCCAAGGCGAAGAUUGAAUCACUUAGCCAACAUCCAGAAACUAUUGGCACUUUGUUGAAUCGAAAUAAAGAAUACCACUCUUUGAUGAUUUUGUCAGCAUCCAACUGUUCUCGAAUUGGUUUAUUCAAGAAUUUAAAACAUCCCAAUGCGAUAAAAGAAUGGAAUCCUAGAAUUCCUAUUCGAGAAAUUUUUGGGCCCUUAGGCGCUAUUGUAGCUAGUAUAUCGCAUUUUUCUUCAUCUUACUAUUUACUAACGCAUAAUAAAAUCCUGUUAAAAAAAUAUUUGUUCGUUGACAAUUUAAAACAAACCUUCCAAGUACUUCAAGAACUUAAAUACUCUUUAAUAGAUGAAAAUAAAAGGAUUUCUAAUUUCGAUAGUAACAUAAUGUUGGAUCCAUUCCUUUUGAAUUGUCACUUUGUCCAUCAUGAUUCUUGGGAAGAGACAUUGGCAAUAAUUCACCUUGGACAAUUUAUUUGUGAAAAUCUAUGUCUAUUUAAAUCUCACAUAAAAAAAUCCGGUCAAAUUUUCAUUGUAAAUAUGAAUUCCUUUGUUAUAAGAGCAGCUAAACCUUAUUUGGCCACUAGAGGAGCAACUGUUAAUGGUCAUUAUGGAGAAAUCCUUUACAAGGGAGAUAGGUUAGUUACGUUUAUAUAUGAAAAAUCAAGAUCUAGUGACAUAACUCAAGGUCUUCCAAAAGUGGAACAAAUCUUUGAAGCGCGUUCAAUUGAUUCAUUAUCCCCGAAUCUCGAAAGGAGAAUUGAGGAUUGGAAUGAGCGUAUACCAAGAAUUCUUGGGGUCCCUUGGGGAUUCUUGAUUGGAGCUGAGCUAACCAUAGCCCAAAGUCGUAUCUCUUUGGUUAAUAAAAUCCAAAAGGUUUAUCGAUCCCAAGGGGUACAGAUCCAUAAUAGACAUAUAGAGAUUAUUAUACGCCAAGUAACAUCAAAAGUGCGGGUUUCCGAAGAUGGAAUGUCUAAUGUUUUUUCGCCUGGGGAAUUAAUCGGACUAUUGCGAGCGGAACGAGCAGGACGAGCUUUGGAUGAAUCGAUCUAUUAUCGGGCAAUCUUAUUGGGAAUAACAAGGGCUUUCCUAAAUACCCAAAGUUUCAUAUCUGAAGCAAGUUUUCAAGAAGCUGCUCGAGUUUUAGCAAAAGCUGCCCUACGAGGUCGCAUUGGUUGGUUGAAAGGCUUGAAAGAAAACGUAGUUCUGGGGGGGAUUAUACUUGUUGGUACCGGAUUCCAAAAAUUUGUGCAACGUUCCCCACAAGACAAGAACCUUUAUUUUGAAAAAAAAAAUCUAUUCGCGUCGGAAAUGAGAGAUUUUUUGUUUCUCCAUACAGAAUUAGUUUCUUCAGAUUCUGACGUAACAAACAAUUUUUAUGAGACAUAAGAACCCCCAUUUAACAUUUAACCCUAUAUCAUUUAAGGAUACAUAAAAAAUAUUUUUUAUUUCAAGCUAUUUCGGAUCUUUCUUAAUCUUCAAAAAGAACUAAAUUCCGUAAUGGAAUGGUAGGAUUCAAGAAAAAGGAAGUGUGGAAAAAAUGACAAGAAGAUAUUGGAACAUUAAUUUGAAAGAGAUGAUAGAAGCAGGAGUUCAUUUUGGUCAUGGUAUUAAGAAAUGGAAUCCUAAAAUGGCCCCUUACAUUUCGGCAAAGCGUAAAGGUACUCAUAUUAUAAAUCUCACUAGAACGGCUCGUUUUUUAUCAGAAGCUUGUGAUUUAGUUUUUGAUGCAGCAAGUCAGGGAAAAAGUUUCUUAAUUGUUGGUACCAAAAAAAGAGCAACAGAUUUAGUAGCAUCAGCUGCAAUAAGGGCUCGUUGUCAUUAUGUUAAUAAAAAGUGGUUCAGUGGUAUGUUAAUGAAUUGGUCGAUUACGAAAACUAGACUUUCUCAAUUUAGAGACUUAAGAGCAGAAGAAAAAAUGGGAAAAUUCCACCAUCUCCCAAAAAGAGAUGUGGCAAUCUUGAAGAGAAAAUUAUCUACCUUGCAAAGGUAUCUCGGCGGGAUCAAAUAUAUGACGAGAUUGCCAGACAUUGUGAUCGUCCUUGAUCAGCAAAAAGAGUAUAUAGCUCUUCGGGAAUGUGCCAUUUUGGGGAUUCCUACUAUUUCUUUAGUCGAUACAAAUUGUGACCCGGAUCUCGCGAAUAUAUCGAUUCCAGCCAACGAUGACACUAUGACUUCAAUUCGAUUGAUUCUUAACAAAUUAGUAUUUUCAAUUUGUGAGGGCCGUUCUCUCUAUAUAAGAAAUCGUUGAUUAAGAAUAUAUAGUGAAUUCUUGGGCAACUGCGUAAAUUUAUGGAAUCACUUACUUUACUAUAUCUUUUUUUUUUGCAUAGAAUUUUUUUUGCAUAUAAAAAAGAAGGGGAAUAUUGAUAUAUAUUAGAGUGUAUUGAUAUAUAUUAUGAUCUGAUGUGCUUUCUUGGUAUCCUAAAUAUAAGAUUAAUACUUCAAGUUGCUGAGUUGAGAAAGAGAUGGUUGAAUCAAAAGAAUUCCUUUUUUGAAGUUCAAUUUUUAUCAGAGGACAAUAUGAAUAUUAUACCUUGUUCCAUUAAAACACUCAAGGGGUUAUACGAUAUAUCGGGUGUAGAAGUAGGCCAACACUUCUAUUGGCAAAUAGGAGGUUUCCAAAUUCAUGCCCAAGUACUCAUCACUUCUUGGGUCGUAAUUACUAUCUUGCUAGGUUCAGUUGUCAUAGCUGUUCGGAAUCCACAAACCAUCCCGACCGACGGUCAGAAUUUUUUUGAAUAUGUCCUUGAGUUUAUUCGAGACUUGAGCAAAACUCAGAUUGGAGAAGAAUAUGGUCCCUGGGUUCCCUUUAUUGGAACUAUGUUCCUUUUUAUUUUUGUAUAGAAUUUUUUUUGCAUAGAAAAAAGAAGGGGAAUAUUGAUAUAUAUUAGAGGGUAUUGAUAUAUAUUAUGAUCUGAUGUGCUUUCUUGGUAUCCUAAAUAUAAGAUUAAUACUUCAAGUUGCUGAGUUGAGAAAGAGAUGGUUGAAUCAAAAGAAUUCCUUUUUUGAAGUUCAAUUUUUAUCAGAGGACAAUAUGAAUAUUAUACCUUGUUCCAUUAAAACACUCAAGGGGUUAUACGAUAUAUCGGGUGUAGAAGUAGGCCAACACUUCUAUUGGCAAAUAGGAGGUUUCCAAAUUCAUGCCCAAGUACUCAUCACUUCUUGGGUCGUAAUUACUAUCUUGCUAGGUUCAGUUGUCAUAGCUGUUCGGAAUCCACAAACCAUCCCGACCGACGGUCAGAAUUUUUUUGAAUAUGUCCUUGAGUUUAUUCGAGACUUGAGCAAAACUAAGAUUGGAGAAGAAUAUGGUCCCUGGGUUCCCUUUAUUGGAACUAUGUUCCUUUUUAUUUUUGUUUCGAAUUGGUCGGGUGCUCUUUUACCUUGGAAAAUUAUAGAGUUACCCCAUGGGGAAUUAGCAGCGCCCACGAAUGAUAUAAAUACUACUGUUGCUUUAGCUUUACUCACGUCAGCGGCAUAUUUUUAUGCUGGUCUUAGCAAAAAAGGAUUGAGCUAUUUCGAGAAAUAUAUUAAACCAACUCCAAUCCUUUUACCAAUUAACAUCCUAGAAGAUUUCACAAAACCAUUAUCACUUAGCUUUCGACUUUUCGGGAAUAUAUUGGCGGAUGUUAAUUGGUAAAAGGAUUGGAGUUGGUUUAAUAUAUUUCUCGAAAUAGCUCAAUCCUUUUUUGCUAAGACCAGCAUAAAAAUAUGCCGCUGACGUGAGUAAAGCUAAAGCAACAGUAGUAUUUAUAUCAUUCGUGGGCGCUGCUAAUUCCCCAUGGGGUAACUCUAUAAUUUUCCAAGGUAAAAGAGCACCCGACCAAUUCGAAACAAAAAUAAAAAGGAACAUAGUUCCAAUAAAGGGAACCCAGGGACCAUAUUCUUCUCCAAUCUGAGUUUUGCUCAAGUCUCGAAUAAACUCAAGGACAUAUUCAAAAAAAUUCUGACCGUCGGUCGGGAUGGUUUGUGGAUUCCGAACAGCUAUGACAACUGAACCUAGCAAGAUAGUAAUUACGACCCAAGAAGUGAUGAGUACUUGGGCAUGAAUUUGGAAACCUCCUAUUUGCCAAUAGAAGUGUUGGCCUACUUCUACACCCGAUAUAUCGUAUAACCCCUUGAGUGUUUUAAUGGAACAAGGUAUAAUAUUCAUAUUGUCCUCUGAUAAAAACUGAACUUCAAAAAAGGAAUUCUUUUGAUUCAACCAUCUCUUUCUCAACUCAGCAACUUGAAGUAUUAAUCUUAUAUUUAGGAUACCAAGAAAGCACAUCAGAUCAUAAUAUAUAUCAAUACCCUCUAAUAUAUAUCAAUAUUCCCCUUCUUUUUUCUAUGCAAAAAAAAUUCUAUGCAAAAAAAAAAGAUAUAGUAAAGUAAGUGAUUCCAUAAAUUUACGCAGUUGCCCAAGAAUUCACUAUAUAUUCUUAAUCAACGAUUUCUUAUAUAGAGAGAACGGCCCUCACAAAUUGAAAAUACUAAUUAGUUAAGAAUCAAUCGAAUUGAAGUCAUAGUGUCAUCGUUGGCUGGAAUCGAUAUAUUCGCGAGAUCCGGGUCACAAUUUGUAUCGACUAAAGAAAUAGUAGGAAUCCCCAAAAUGGCACAUUCCCGAAGAGCUAUAUACUCUUUUUGCUGAUCAAGGACGAUCACAAUGUCUGGCAAUCUCGUCAUAUAUUUGAUCCCGCCGAGAUACCUUUGCAAGGUAGAUAAUUUUCUCUUCAAGAUUGCCACAUCUCUUUUUGGGAGAUGGUGGAAUUUUCCCAUUUUUUCUUCUGCUCUUAAGUCUCUAAAUUGAGAAAGUCUAGUUUUCGUAAUCGACCAAUUCGUUAACAUACCACUGAACCACUUUUUAUUAACAUAAUGACAAGAAGAUAUUGGAACAUUAAUUUGAAAGAGAUGAUAGAAGCAGGAGUUCAUUUUGGUCAUGGUAUUAAGAAAUGGAAUCCUAAAAUGGCCCCUUACAUUUCGGCAAAGCGUAAAGGUACUCAUAUUAUAAAUCUCGCUAGAACGGCUCGUUUUUUAUCAGAAGCUUGUGAUUUAGUUUUUGAUGCAGCAAGUCAGGGAAAAAGUUUCUUAAUUGUUGGUACCAAAAAAAGAGCAACAGAUUUAGUAGCAUCAGCUGCAAUAAGGGCUCGUUGUCAUUAUGUUAAUAAAAAGUGGUUCAGUGGUAUGUUAACGAAUUGGUCGAUUACGAAAACUAGACUUUCUCAAUUUAGAGACUUAAGAGCAGAAGAAAAAAUGGGAAAAUUCCACCAUCUCCCAAAAAGAGAUGUGGCAAUCUUGAAGAGAAAAUUAUCUACCUUGCAAAGGUAUUUCGGCGGGAUCAAAUAUAUGACGAGAUUGCCAGACAUUGUGAUCGUCCUUGAUCAGCAAAAAGAGUAUAUAGCUCUUCGGGAAUGUGCCAUUUUGGGGAUUCCUACUAUUUCUUUAGUCGAUACAAAUUGUGACCCGGAUCUCGCGAAUAUAUCGAUUCCAGCCAACGAUGACACUAUGACUUCAAUUCGAUUGAUUCUUAACAAAUUAGUAUUUUCAAUUUGUGAGGGCCGUUCUCUCUAUAUAAGAAAUCGUUGAUUAAGAAUAUAUAGUGAAUUCUUGGGCAACUGCGUAAAUUUAUGGAAUCACUUACUUUACUAUAUCUUUUUUUUUGCAUAGAAUUUUUUUUGCAUAGAAAAAAGAAGGGGAAUAUUGAUAUAUAUUAGAGGGUAUUGAUAUAUAUUAUGAUCUGAUGUGCUUUCUUGGUAUCCUAAAUAUAAGAUUAAUACUUCAAGUUGCUGAGUUGAGAAAGAGAUGGUUGAAUCAAAAGAAUUCCUUUUUUGAAGUUCAGUUUUUAUCAGAGGACAAUAUGAAUAUUAUACCUUGUUCCAUUAAAACACUCAAGGGGUUAUACGAUAUAUCGGGUGUAGAAGUAGGCCAACACUUCUAUUGGCAAAUAGGAGGUUUCCAAAUUCAUGCCCAAGUACUCAUCACUUCUUGGGUCGUAAUUACUAUCUUGCUAGGUUCAGUUGUCAUAGCUGUUCGGAAUCCACAAACCAUCCCGACCGACGGUCAGAAUUUUUUUGAAUAUGUCCUUGAGUUUAUUCGAGACUUGAGCAAAACUCAGAUUGGAGAAGAAUAUGGUCCCUGGGUUCCCUUUAUUGGAACUAUGUUCCUUUUUAUUUUUGUUUUGAAUUGGUCGGGUGCUCUUUUACCUUGGAAAAUUAUAGAGUUACCCCAUGGGGAAUUAGCAGCGCCCACGAAUGAUAUAAAUACUACUGUUGCUUUAGCUUUACUCACGUCAGCGGCAUAUUUUUAUGCUGGUCUUAGCAAAAAAGGAUUGAGCUAUUACGAGAAAUAUAUUAAACCAACUCCAAUCCUUUUACCAAUUAACAUCCUAGAAGAUUUCACAAAACCAUUAUCGCUUAGCUUUCGACUUUUCGGGAAUAUAUUGGCGGAUGAAUUAGUCGUUGUUGUUCUUGUUUCUUUAGUCCCCUUAGUAAUCCCUAUACCGGUCAUGUUUCUUGGAUUAUUUACAAGCGGUAUUCAAGCUCUUAUUUUUGCAACAUUAGCCGCAGCCUAUAUAGGUGAAUCCAUGGAGGGUCAUCAUUGAAUUGACUCUUUUUGGAAAUAGUAUUUUUUUUGCAGCUUAGCUCAAUACAUGCAUGGUUCCAGAUAAUCUGCUUGGUUGCAAAAAAAUAGUUAGAAAUGCGUAUGAAUAUAUAGCCUAGAGUUGUAGGAGAGAGAAUAGAAUAGACUAUAUUAUGGAAUUUUCAAAGUAUAUAUGCAUUAAGGAGGGUGGAGUCAGGCUAGAUCUAUACUAUAAUAUCCUUAAUGUCUAUAAUUGGAGUCCUCUUUUAUGCAGGUUUCCACUAUAAGCAAUGAUUUUAGAAUCCGAUUCAAUAGAAAAUGAGAAAAUAUGCAAACAAAAUAGAAGAAACAAAUGUAUAUAUAUAGGAUAUUAUAUUAUAUAUUCCUGGGCUAGAUUCAUUAUCUAAUCCGAUAUAUGGAUAUGGAAUUCCCUUGUAUGUAGUUCGGACAAUUCACAUUAUCAUUUCAAUUUGAUUUCAAUUUGUACUUUUUAGUUACUUUACUUCUCCCCAAUAGAGCUUAGAAGUAAGAAUUUAUUGGUUGAUUGUAUCCUUAACCAUUUCUUUUUUUUGACACGAGGAACUACUCACCAUGAAUGCACUAAUUGCUGCUGCUUCUGUUAUUGCUGCUGGAUUGGCCGUAGGGCUUGCUUCUAUUGGACCUGGAGUUGGUCAAGGUACUGCUGCAGGACAAGCUGUAGAAGGUAUUGCGAGACAGCCAGAAGCAGAAGGUAAAAUACGAGGUACUUUAUUUCUUAGUCUAGCUUUUAUGGAAGCUUUAACAAUUUAUGGACUAGUUGUGGCACUAGCGCUUUUAUUUGCGAACCCUUUUGUUUAAUCUUAAAAAAUUCUUUCGAUUUCGAUUAGAUACUUUUUUUUUCUUUUUUAGUAAAUUGGUAUUUGCUUCCGCAAUUCCAAUUAUAUCAAUACUUUAUUUAAUUUACUCCUAUUUAUUACUCCUGGAAUUAUCUAUUUAUCGGGACAGAUAAUACCCCAUUCUAGGAAGGGCUGAGUUGAGUAUUAUUAAUUUAGAAGAUAUGCUCACCUUCUUAUUUCCCGUCCUUAGUUUAGGAAAGUGGAAUGUUUUUUCCUUUUAUUUUAGGAAUUUUGGGAACAGAACAUUUCAACAAAGGAAGUCUUUCACCGGUCAAACAAGACGUAAGACUUAAUCUAAAAGAAAUUACUAGAUUGAAUCUAUUUGCAUUAAAAAAACCGAUCAAAAAAGGGCGAGCGAAGUAAGUGAUCGAAAAACUUUGUUCUUUGUUCGUCCUAUCUAUAAGAGGAGAGCAUAUGAAAAAUGUAACCCAUUCUUUCGUUUUUUUAGCUCACUGGCCAUCCACUGGCAGUUUCGGGCUUAAUACCGAUAUUUUAGCAACAAAUCUAAAAGUCUAACUGUAGUGGUUGGUGUUUUGAUUUUUUUGGAAAGGGAGUGUGUGCGAGUUGUCUAUUUCAAGAAUAGAUUGGAUCUAUCCGGCUGCACUUUAUAAUAUUUUUUAGUAUUUUUCGGAUAAAUAAGAAAAGGGUGCACGAUCUCGACGAAUUACUUCUGAAUAAAUUCAGAAAUCAUAUGGAAGAACCAUAGCAUUUCGCGACUCAUUGGUAAAUCAACUUUGAUUCUCUAUAAACCAAGAAUGUGAGACCAUUAACAUGGUUAAAGCUAAACUGCUUGAAGUCCAGGCAAAAAGAGGUACUCUUUCUACAACUAUAUUAGUAUUAGUACCGAAUUUAAACGGGAAAUAGCUAAUGUAAAAUUUAUCUGAUAUAGAACACUCAUAUCGAUAAAAUGGUUUGAACUAUUUACUAGAAAAAAAAGGGGGCACCCUACCCUUUUUUAACCAAUGCCGAAUCGACGACCUAUGUAUAAAAAAGAGAAAUUUUUUGGAUUUGAAGAAAAAAAUAAAAAAGAAUUCUAUUAAUUUUCAUUUUCCAUUUAUUUAGUUAGUUUUUCUUAAUGAAAUUGAAAUUAUUAACUAGAGGGCAAAUAAAAAUAAAGAAACAACUUUGCUGACCAUGAUAUAUUUUUAUCUAGGCGGAAGAGUCCUCUUAAUAUUUAUCUAGUCUUAUAUAGGUUUCGGUAUAUUGAAAUAUAAACAUAAAAAAGAAGAUAGAGGAUAGGCUCAUUACUUAAAAAAAAGAUAUGGAAAUAGCUAUAGAAAAAAAA